UACGUAGGCAGCAAGCGUUGUUCGGAGUUACUGGGCGUAAAGGGUGUGUAGGCGGUUUUCUAAGUCUGGUGUGAAAUCUCCCGGCUCAACUGGGAGGGUGCGCCGAAAACUGGAAGGCUAGAGUGCGGGAUGGGAGAGUGGAAUUCCUGGUGUAGCGGUGGAAUGCGCAGAUAUCAGGAGGAACACCAAUAGCGAAGGCAGCUCGCUGGGACGUUACUGACACUGAGGCGCGAAAGCGUGGGGAUCAAACAGG
rnacentral:rRNA from 1 species